AUGUUGAGAGCUUGCAAUGUAAUGAGGACCCUACUCGGUGAUUACAUGCUUUUUUCUUUUUUAAUCCCUACAGAUAUCCUGAGAGGUGAGGAUUACCACCAUUUCAAGUUUAACAACGAGGCUGACUUUACCUGUCGUUCUGUGGUAGAGCCGUGCUCUGAAUUCAGGACUAUGACACAUGUCCAGAUCCACUGUCCAGCAGUCUCAAGAAGGCAGUGCUUAAACUUCCAGAGAAAAAGUGAGGAGCCAAGAAGAUGCCAAGGACAUUAUGCUAAUGUAUAUAAAUACAUACAGAGCCCUCCGCACUGGAAGCUUUGAGCUUCGCAGGUGAGGUAAGUGAGUGGCCCGGAAAACUAUCAGUCUAAGAUUGCUCCUUAAAAACAGGCUUGAAUGGACAAAAUUUUCAUUGGCUGAGUUUGAGAUCAACUAUAAGGAGAAGUCUGAUGGUGAAAUACUGCUGGACAGAGUGAACUGGUAUGAAUUUAUUUUAGAGAAAUAUUUUUAUCCUUGACAUCAUAAGCCUGAAUUAAGAAGAAUGCUUGAAAAUUAAUUGCACCUCUAUUCAAAAAUGGAGAUGAGCCAGUACACACAGGCCAAGAAAAGCCUUGUUAGCUGAGUGUGUUAUGCAAAAGCUCAGGUGCCUUUGGGAAUUGAGCAGGAAAGAAAGGGCUGAAGGACCUGAAGGAUAUUUAUUUAUUGCAGAUAUUAGCCAGUUUCACCAAGGCAGAAUUAUCUCCUUGGAAGUGAUAGUAAAAUACUUACCAGGAUUAAGCUUUUCCAUGAAGAAACAGAAAAAAAUAACCCCAGCUCUCUUCAUGACUUUGCCUUAGCUGUCCUAAUUGCAGUUGCAAAGGGUGGAGGGAAGAAGGGAGGGACAGACGGACAGAAGGGGAAAAUGACAACUCUUACUUCUUUGUCUAAAAGACAAGGAUAAUGUUCACAGUGAGCCUAAGAUCAUAGUAUCUAAAAUAUCCCCACCACUAUCCCACUGUAUCCUCUUUCCCUGCUGUAUUUUUCUUUAUAGUGCUCCUCAAUACUGGACAUUAGCAUCUAUCACUUGGCUGUUUGCUGUUUGGCAUAUAGUUUCUCCACUGCUAUGUAAAUUGCAGGCAGCCUGUGUCAUGUCACCGAAGCUGCCCUCCAGCUCCCAGAACGGUGGCUAGAAGAGGAAGCAUGCAAUAAAUAUUUGUGGAAUAACA
rnacentral:lncRNA from 1 species